rnacentral:rRNA from 1 species
GACAGAGGUGCCGAGCGUUAGGCGGAAUCACUGGGCUUAAAGCGUGUGUAGGCGGGCCGUUAAGUGUCUUGUGAAAUCCCCCGGCUCAACCGGGGAAUUGCUGGGCAUACUGGCGGUCUUGAGCGAUCUAGGGGCAGAUGGAACAAGUGGUGGAGUGGUGAAAUGCGUAGAUAUCAGGAAGAACACCCGUGGCUAAGGCGGCUCUCUAGUACGGUACUGACGCUGAGACGCGAAAGCGUGGGGAGCGAACAGG